GGUUAAGCGACUAAGCGUACACGGUGGAUGCCCUGGCAGUCAGAGGCGAUGAAGGGCGUGCUAAUCUGCGAUAAGCGCCGGUAAGGUGAUAUGAACUGUUAUAACCGGCGAUACCCGAAUGGGGAAACCCAGUGUGACUCGUCACACUAUCAUUAACUGAAUCCAUAGGUUAAUGAGGCGAACCGGGGGAACUGAAACAUCUAAGUACCCCGAGGAAAAGAAAUCAACCGAGAUUCCCCCAGUAGCGGCGAGCGAACGGGGAGGAGCCCAGAGCCUGAAUCAGCAUGUGUGUUAGUGGAAGCGUCUGGAAAGGCGCGCGAUACAGGGUGACAGCCCCGUACACAAAAGCGCAUGUGCUGUGAGCUCGAUGAGUAGGGCGGGACACGUGGUAUCCUGUCUGAAUAUGGGGGGACCAUCCUCCAAGGCUAAAUACUCCUGACUGACCGAUAGUGAACCAGUACCGUGAGGGAAAGGCGAAAAGAACCCCGGCGAGGGGAGUGAAAAAGAACCUGAAACCGUGUACGUACAAGCAGUGGGAGCCCCACCACUAAGCCAGUGGUGAACUCCACAUACGCAUCCUUUGCUGAAGGCAAUGGUUAACGGAGCGAAAGCGACGUUCAACCGCAAAACAAGCAGAGGGGGCUUAGUGGUGGGGUGACUGCGUACCUUUUGUAUAAUGGGUCAGCGACUUAUAUUCUGUAGCAAGGUUAACCGUAUAGGGGAGCCGGAGGGAAACCGAGUCUUAAUUGGGCGUUAAGUUGCAGGGUAUAGACCCGAAACCCGGUGAUCUAGCCAUGGGCAGGUUGAAGGUUGGGUAACACUAACGGAGGACCGAACCGACUAAUGUUGAAAAAUUAGCGGAUGACCUGUGGCUGGGGGUGAAAGGCCAAUCAAACCGGGAGAUAGCUGGUUCUCCCCGAAAGCUAUUUAGGUAGCGCCUCGUGAAUUCAUCUCCGGGGGUAGAGCACUGUUUCGGCUAGGGGGCCAUCCCGGCUUACCAACCCGAUGCAAACUGCGAAUACCGGAGAAUGUUAUCACGGGAGACACACGGCGGGUGCUAACGUCCGUCGUGAAGAGGGAAACAACCCAGACCGCCAGCUAAGGUCCCAAAGUCAUGGUUAAGUGGGAAACGAUGUGGGAAGGCCCAGACAGCCAGGAUGUUGGCUUAGAAGCAGCCAUCAUUUAAAGAAAGCGUAAUAGCUCACUGGUCGAGUCGGCCUGCGCGGAAGAUGUAACGGGGCUAAACCAUGCACCGAAGCUGCGGCAGCGACGCUUAUGCGUUGUUGGGUAGGGGAGCGUUCUGUAAGCCUGCGAAGGUGGCCUGUGAGGGUUGCUGGAGGUAUCAGAAGUGCGAAUGCUGACAUAAGUAACGAUAAAGCGGGUGAAAAGCCCGCUCGCCGGAAGACCAAGGGUUCCUGUCCAACGUUAAUCGGGGCAGGGUGAGUCGACCCCUAAGGCGAGGCCGAAAGGCGUAGUCGAUGGGAAACAGGUUAAUAUUCCUGUACUUGGUGUUACUGCGAAGGGGGGACGGAGAAGGCUAUGUUGGCCGGGCGACGGUUGUCCCGGUUUAAGCGUGUAGGUGUGUGUUCCAGGUAAAUCCGGUUCACUUUAACACUGAGGCGUGACGACGAGGCACUACGGUGCUGAAGCAACAAAUGCCCUGCUUCCAGGAAAAGCCUCUAAGCAUCAGGUAACAUCAAAUCGUACCCCAAACCGACACAGGUGGUCAGGUAGAGAAUACCAAGGCGCUUGAGAGAACUCGGGUGAAGGAACUAGGCAAAAUGGUGCCGUAACUUCGGGAGAAGGCACGCUGACACGUAGGUGAAGUGAUUUACUCAUGGAGCUGAAGUCAGUCGAAGAUACCAGCUGGCUGCAACUGUUUAUUAAAAACACAGCACUGUGCAAACACGAAAGUGGACGUAUACGGUGUGACGCCUGCCCGGUGCCGGAAGGUUAAUUGAUGGGGUCAGCGCAAGCGAAGCUCCUGAUCGAAGCCCCGGUAAACGGCGGCCGUAACUAUAACGGUCCUAAGGUAGCGAAAUUCCUUGUCGGGUAAGUUCCGACCUGCACGAAUGGCGUAAUGAUGGCCAGGCUGUCUCCACCCGAGACUCAGUGAAAUUGAACUCGCUGUGAAGAUGCAGUGUACCCGCGGCAAGACGGAAAGACCCCGUGAACCUUUACUAUAGCUUGACACUGAACAUUGAGCCUUGAUGUGUAGGAUAGGUGGGAGGCUUUGAAGCGUGGACGCCAGUCUGCGUGGAGCCGACCUUGAAAUACCACCCUUUAAUGUUUGAUGUUCUAACGUGGACCCGUAAUCCGGGUUGCGGACAGUGUCUGGUGGGUAGUUUGACUGGGGCGGUCUCCUCCUAAAGAGUAACGGAGGAGCACGAAGGUUGGCUAAUCCUGGUCGGACAUCAGGAGGUUAGUGCAAUGGCAUAAGCCAGCUUGACUGCGAGCGUGACGGCGCGAGCAGGUGCGAAAGCAGGUCAUAGUGAUCCGGUGGUUCUGAAUGGAAGGGCCAUCGCUCAACGGAUAAAAGGUACUCCGGGGAUAACAGGCUGAUACCGCCCAAGAGUUCAUAUCGACGGCGGUGUUUGGCACCUCGAUGUCGGCUCAUCACAUCCUGGGGCUGAAGUAGGUCCCAAGGGUAUGGCUGUUCGCCAUUUAAAGUGGUACGCGAGCUGGGUUUAGAACGUCGUGAGACAGUUCGGUCCCUAUCUGCCGUGGGCGCUGGAGAACUGAGGGGGGCUGCUCCUAGUACGAGAGGACCGGAGUGGACGCAUCACUGGUGUUCGGGUUGUCAUGCCAAUGGCACUGCCCGGUAGCUAAAUGCGGAAGAGAUAAGUGCUGAAAGCAUCUAAGCACGAAACUUGCCCCGAGAUGAGUUCUCCCUGAGACUUAGAGUCUCCUGAAGGAACGUUGAAGACGACGACGUUGAUAGGCCGGGUGUGUAAGCGCAGCGAUGCGUUGAGCUAACCGGUACUAAUGAACCGUGAGGCUUAACCUU
rnacentral:rRNA from 1 species